CGCGCCUGUUGCCUAGAUACCCCCGCCCCCGCCCUCACUGCCCGGAGUCCUUCUGCGUCCAAGAUGGCGUCCGAGCUUUAUUUUUAGAGCACCAGGAACAAAGCGCGUUGCGUAGCAUUGAGUUUAGCAGAAAGCAAGAGUUGUGUGGCUGGCUUUAAUGUCUGCUGUGUUUGGUUGGCUGUUCACACAAUACCCAGACUCCCAGAGCUGCCACAGGUGUCCUAAGUUCACACAGCCACCCUUCAUCCUGCCUCAAGUGGAGCUUUGUCCCGUGUCUGAGCAUGGUGUCUGCUGUGUGGAAAUAAGAACUGUCUCACAAAACUGAGCCUCAAAAGAGAGUUGAAGUUGCCUGAGUCGUCCAUUCCUGAAGAGAGGAGGCAGAGCCAACCUCUUGUUCCCGCAGAACUGAUUUGAUAUCGAUUUGAAUAAAGGCAUCUGCUGCCAUUUUAUUAAGCGCCC
rnacentral:lncRNA from 1 species